rnacentral:rRNA from 1 species
ACGUAGGGGGCAAGCGUUAUCCGGAUUUACUGGGUGUAAAGGGAGCGUAGACGGCACGGCAAGCCAGAUGUGAAAGCCCGGGGCUCAACCCCGGGACUGCAUUUGGAACUGCUGAGCUAGAGUGUCGGAGAGGCAAGUGGAAUUCCUAGUGUAGCGGUGAAAUGCGUAGAUAUUAGGAGGAACACCAGUGGCGAAGGCGGCUUGCUGGACGAUGACUGACGUUGAGUCUCGAAAGCGUGGGGAGCAAACAG